UACGGAGGGUGCAAGCGUUAUCCGGAUUCACUGGGUUUAAAGGGUGCGUAGGAGGGCAGGGGAAGUCAGUGGUGAAAUCUCCGGGCUUAACUCGGAAACUGCCGUUGAUACUCUCUGUCUUGAAUACCGUGGAGGUGAGCGGAAUAUGUCAUGUAGCGGUGAAAUGCUUAGAUAUGACAUAGAACACCAAGUUGACGAAGGCAGCUCACUGACACGAUAAUUGACUCUGAGGCACGAAAAGCGUCGGGGAUCAAAGC
rnacentral:rRNA from 1 species